GCGCUCGUAGCUCAACGGACAGAGCAGCUGACUACGACUCAGCAGGUUGGGGGUUCGAAUCCUCCCGAGCGCA
rfam:Nocardia cyriacigeorgica GTH-2 chromosome complete genome